rnacentral:rRNA from 1 species
AGCGAACGCUGGCGGCAGGCCUAACACAUGCAAGUCGAACGCCCCGCAAGGGGAGUGGCAGACGGGUGAGUAACGCGUGGGAACGUACCUUUCGGUUCGGAAUAACCCGGGGAAACUCGGGCUAAUACCGGAUACGUCCGCAAGGAGAAAGAUUUAUCGCCGAAAGAUCGGCCCGCGUUGGAUUAGCUAGUUGGUGAGGU